UAUAAUGGGAGCCACCUAACUGAAAAUUUUCUAGUAAUCAUAUUUAUUUUUUUAUUUUUUUUUAGUAAUCAUAUUUAGAAAAGCAAAAAGAAACAGGCAAAAUUAAUGUAAAUAUUUUAUGAAACCCACUCUAUUAAAACACUGUCAUUUCAACAUGUGGUUCAUAUGAAAAUUAUUGAUGAGGUAUUCUAUUUUUCGUACUAACUCUGCAUAGCUGAGUGUGUAUUUUUCACUUGCAGUGCACCUCAGUUGGAACUAGUGACAUUUCAGGUGUUCAGUGCAAUGUGUGGCUGGUGGUUACCUCAUCCUGGGAAGGUCUUGGUAUCUUUCAAACAGCAACAAUAUAGCUGAAGCCGGAGCAACUGACUGACAAGCCCCUUCCACAUAAAGGUACCCACGCACCAUGCAGGAAAUGUGUGUGCGGUACGGUGGGCUGAGAGACUCUGGAACGGGAACCGCCCUUGCCUAGCCUUCCUCCUUGGAUGCCUCGGCACAAUGACUCGGGAGCUCCGGUGCCAGACCUUCCAGUUAGACAGAAAUGCAGUUGUCUGAUGCUGAUCUUUGCGGCUAUGUUCUUAAGCCCUAAACUCCACAUUGGUUGUGUUCGCUCCUCGGUCUGUGGUUUGGAGGUUAGAAAGGAGGAGAGAAGUGAGAGCGGAGUCAGGAGAAGAGAUGAAGCAGUGGUUAAGGCACUAGGCCUGCGCAGCCCUCUGGAGAAAUCUGCACACAGUUAAGCCAGUAACCAGAAUUAAAUCUGACUAAGGAAGAAUCAGCACUCUACGGCUUCAUCUGCUGGCACUGACAUUAAAAUUUGCAGAGAGAACAUUUCAACGCGGCGUCCUCUGUGCUCCAUCCUGAGCCCAGGUGAGUGUGGUUCAAAGAGGUUUUCCUAUAGAUGUUCCUGCGAGGAGGUGAGUGAGUGGUAGCCUUUGGUUUCUUAGGUCAGAGAAUGGGGACCCUGUUCAGAAUGAGGAGGUCUGGAAUCCUCUUGGUCCCAUGAGGGCUUCCUAGUCUUCCUUCCCCUCCGCUCCUCUUGACUCUCCAAGGCAAAAACGGGGAAUGAAACCCACGUUUCUUUUUCAUGAUCGGGUAACAUUGUGCUAAAAUGGCUAUUUUACUUUUCUGGUUUUUUCUAGCUGCUUGUGUUGUUAUUGUCUGGACUUCAGAAAUUUUUUAAGUGAUAAAUCAUCAUCUUGUGAAAGGUCAAGAGAAAGGAGGGUGUGAAAUCUGGAUUUCGUACACGUUCCGCUAUGUCGUUACAGUCGUUCAGCACUUAUCUCUGUGCUUGGCAUCUGGUGUGUGGUGGGAUGGAUUAAAAACCCCAACCAACAACCAAAAACCAGACCAGAGGGACCCCGUAAUCAGUUUUUAGGCUGAAGGAAACAAAACAAAAAAACCUAGAAAUUAGAGGUGAGUUACUAAUAAUAUAGUAACCGUGCAGCUGUCUCUGGGGACUUUAUAAUGUGGGUCGCAUGUCAUCUUUUUUCCUCAUGACGCAGCUCACCCAGAUGCAGAGAAGGACUAAACGGACUGGAACCAGGGGGAGGCAAGUGAAUCACUUACCCUGGGUGUACAACUGAAGGGGACUCCAGAACUCAGUAAUCAAGAUGAAUACUUUACAAAUCCAUGAUGAAUGGAUUCAUCCACUCAAUCCAUAAUGAAUUCAAUCCAUAAUGAAUCCAUGAUGAACAAGGUAUCAACAUUUUAAAUAAAGAGAAGACCAGUAUUAAUGAUUUUUCUUUCUUCUGUUGCCUCAGGCUCUAAUGUGGCUCGGCACAGCAUUUGAGUUAAUAUCCAGAGAUAAAGCAGAAUAAAUGUGCAUACAUGUGCGUGUUUCAGACAGGCUCUCUCCAAGGACAGGCUGAUGCAGAUAUGUGAGUGAGUGAGAGACAGACAGAGGAAUCCUAAAGCUGGAGGAAAUCUUAAUCCCAAAAGGUUAGUCCAGUCAAUUUUACAGGUGAGGAAACGGGGCAAUGAUUUACCUUGAACCGAUCAUACAUUUUGAAAUAUCCCAAAGCCUAGGCCUCUUGACACGAGUCCUGUGGAUAGUUGCACAGGGGCAGCUUUCAAAGUGGGGGAAACUCCCUCUCCCAUGAGGCGGCGAGCUCAGUGAACUGGUCGAAUUAGAGCAUUUUAAUGGGCCACAUAUGUAGUGCUAGAACUUUUAAAAUAGAGGUUCAGAGCACACAUGUAGUCUGUCUGGACUCUGUACCUAUAAGGUACACAUUGGCUAGAAGACCCGCCUGGCUGGAGCCAUUGGGGCAAACUCGUCCUUGCUUUGUACCCCUCCCUUGUUCUUCGGCUCUGUUCCCCAAUGACUCUCCUGGCUUGGCUUUUCCUCACAUCACAGGGGUUUGAACUGAGAUCUGAAUUUUGUGCUUUGGUUCUGAUUCAGCCAGAGGAAGCCUUUCUCUGGAGUUUGACAGUAGGAUUUGGGGCCAAAACCCCAGCUAGAGUAACUGCCUCUUUGCCCUCAGGGAGUCUAGAGUCCCUUGUGACCCUGUAAGGAGUGUAGGUGACAGAGGAAGGACGGUCUGGGUGG